rnacentral:rRNA from 1 species
GACGAACGCUGGCGGCGUGCUUAACACAUGCAAGUCGAGCGGUAAGGCCCUUUCGGGGGUACACGAGCGGCGAACGGGUGAGUAACACGUGGGUGACCUGCCCUCAGCUCUGGGAUAAGCCUGGGAAACUGGGUCUAAUACUGGAUAUGACUCCACGGUGCAUGUCGUGGGGUGGAAAGCCUUGUGCGGCUGAGGAUGGGCCCGCGGCCUAUCAGCUUGUUGGUGGGGUGANGGCCUACCAAGGCGACGACGGGUAGCCGGCCUGAGAGGGCGACCGGCCACACUGGGACUGAGACACGGCCCAGACUCCUACGGGAGGCAGGCAGUGGGGAAUCUUGCGCAAUGGGCGAAAGCCUGACGCAGCGACGCCGCGUGAGGGAUGACGGCCUCGG